rnacentral:rRNA from 1 species
UACGGAGGGUGCAAGCGUUAUCCGGAUUUAUUGGGUUUAAAGGGUGCGUAGGCGGCUUUGUAAGUCAGCGGUGAAAUAUGGCAGCUCAACUGUCAAGGUGCCAUUGAUACUGCGGAGCUUGAGUACAGAUGAGGUAGGCGGAAUUGACGGUGUAGCGGUGAAAUGCUUAGAUAUCGUCAAGAACACCUAUAGCGAAGGCAGCUUACUAGGCUGUAACUGACGCUGAGGCACGAAAGUGUGGGGAUCAAACAGG